rnacentral:piRNA from 1 species
UUGGGCCUUACAUUAACUAACUCAAGGU